AGGUGACGUUGCGCAGUUUGCGCUCCGGCGAGCACUAGCCACAGCUUGUGGGAGGAGGCGCCGAGGUGGGAUUAGGCCCUUUUGGCCGUCCCACCCUGGGAGGCGUGGAUGAACACACAAGGAAGCGGGCGCCUGAUGUGGAGUAUCGAACAGAAGCUGCCGUCGCCGCCACCCAUCCUACCGUGUCGCUGCCAUCGUCGCUGCCUCUGCCCGUUCCUAUGGUGAGUGCCCGAAUGGCUUCUGUUUGAUUUUGUUGGAGCUAGCUUAGGAUAUAGGCAUGUGUUGCUCUGAUAUGGAUUUGUUUUGUUUUUGUACAGGGCCGUCGAACCACAGGAUCAUCGAUUAGCACAUCGAUGAGUUUUCUGGGCUCUCUCCGUGGUUAAAUUGCAUUGGAUGUUUUGGUAGAGGCGGCUGGGAUCGAAUACAAAGUGAGGGGUUGCAAAGGCGAUUGCGGAGAAGUCCUGCAAUGCUCUUCUCCUCAAGGACUGCACAACUAGCUGCCAGAAGAUAACGAGCUGCCUCGCGGUAUAAGUAGGCAGCCGACAUCUUUGACGACAACUGCGAUCUGCAUGACUCUAACGGCCAUCUACGCGAGACUACUACUCUGCUAAAAGGAAUGGUGUUAACUCUUGAUGCUGCAAGCACUAAAGACCAUGCUGCGAGAAUGCAUUUCCUAUGUAGGCGAUGAUUUUAGUGUUCCUUCCUUGCUUUUGUCUCUCUCGGUAGAAUCAACAACUUUUACAUGCUAUAAGAUAUUUUCCCAUGUUUCUUGGUUGUAUAUAAAUGUUCGUUGCUUUGUUUGUAAUUUAGUAUGAUUUGCUAUACAUUGUAAACUCUAAAAAUAUUUAUUGUUAUUUUCACA